AUCAAACCCUAUACGGGAGGCAGCAGUGAGGAAUAUUGGUCAAUGGACGAGAGUCUGAACCAGCCAAGUAGCGUGAAGGAUGACUGCCCUAUGGGUUGUAAACUUCUUUUAUAUGGGAAUAAAGUAUUCCACGUGUGGGAUUUUGUAUGUACCAUAUGAAUAAGGAUCGGCUAACUCCGUGCCAGCAGCCGCGGUAAUACGGAGGAUCCGAGCGUUAUCCGGAUUUAUUGGGUUUAAAGGGAGCGUAGGUGGAUUGUUAAGUCAGUUGUGAAAGUUUGCGGCUCAACCGUAAAAUUGCAGUUGAAACUGGCAGUCUUGAGUACAGUAGAGGUGGGGCGGAAUUCGUGGUGUAGCGGUGAAAUGCUUAGAUAUCACGAAGAACUCCGAUUGCGAAGGCAGCUCACUAGACUGCAACUGACACUGAUGCUCGAAAGUGUGGGUAUCAAACAGGAUUAGAUACCCUGGUAGUCCACACAGUAAACGAUGAAUACUCGCUGUUUGCGAUAUACAGUAAGCGGCCAAGCGAAAGCAUUAAGUAUUCCACCUGGGGAGUACGCCGGCAACGGUGAAACUCAAAGGAAUUGACGGGGGCCCGCACAAGCGGAGGAACAUGUGGUUUAAUUCGAUGAUACGCGAGGAACCUUACCCGGGCUUAAAUUGCAAAUGAAUAAUNUGGAAACAGGUUAGCCGCAAGGCAUUUGUGAAGGUGCUGCAUGGUUGUCGUCAGCUCGUGCCGUGAGGUGUCGGCUUAAGUGCCAUAACGAGCGCAACCCUUAUCUUUAGUUACUAACAGGUCAUGCUGAGGACUCUAGAGAGACUGCCGUCGUAAGAUGUGAGGAAGGUGGGGAUGACGUCAAAUCAGCACGGCCCUUACGUCCGGGGCUACACACGUGUUACAAUGGGGGGUACAGAAGGCAGCUACCUGGCGACAGGAUGCUAAUCCCAAAAACCUCUCUCAGUUCGGAUCGAAGUCUGCAACCCGACUUCGUGAAGCUGGAUUCGCUAGUAAUCGCGCAUCAGCCAUGGCGCGGUGAAUACGUUCCCGGGCCUUGUACACACCGCCCGUCAAGGCCAUGAAAGCCGGGGGUACCUGAAGUACGUAACCGCAAGGAGCUCCUAGG
rnacentral:rRNA from 1 species